rnacentral:rRNA from 1 species
AUUGAACGCUGGCGGCAGGCCUAACACAUGCAAGUCGAACGAGUGGCGGACGGGUGAGUAAUGUCUGGGCAACUGCCUGAUGGAGGCGUAUAACUACUGGAAACGGUAGCUACUACCGCAUACCGUCCUAUGUGCCCAGAUGGGAUUAGCUAGUCGGUGGGGUAACGGCUCACCAAGGCGACGAUCCCUAGCUGGUCUGAGAGGCUGACCAGCCACACUGGAACUGAGACACGGUCCAGACUCCUACGGGAGGCAGCAGUGGGGAAUAUUGCACAAUGGGCGCAAGCCUGAUGCAGCCAUGCCGCGUGUAUGAAGAAGGCCUUCGGGUUGUAAAGUACUUUCAGCGGGGAGGCGUUACCCGCAGAAGAAGCACCGGCUAACUCCGUGCCAGCAGCCGCGGUAAUAC